UACGUAGGGGGCAAGCGUUGUCCGGAUUUAUUGGGCGUAAAGAGCGUGUAGGCGGCUUUACAGGUCCGUUGUGAAAACUCGAGGCUCAACCUCGAGACGCCGGUGGAAACCGUAAAGCUAGAGUCCGGAAGAGGAGAGUGGAAUUCCUGGUGUAGCGGUGAAAUGCGCAGAUAUCAGGAAGAACACCCGUGGCGAAGGCGGCUCUCUGGGACGGUACUGACGCUGAGACGCGAAAGC
rnacentral:rRNA from 1 species